rnacentral:rRNA from 1 species
UGAAUACGAAAUGCUACGGCAUUGAAGUGAUCUAUGCCAUGCUUCCAAGAAAAUCUCGUCAUAUCUUAAAUAAUAAAUGCCUGUACCUUAAACCGACACAGGUAGGUAGGUAGAGUAUACCAAGGGGCGCGAGAUAACUCUCUCUAAGGAACUCGGCAAAAUAACCUCGUAACUUCGGAAGAAGAGGUACCCUUGAAAAAGGGUUGCAAUAACCAGACCCUGGCGACUGUUACCAAAAACACAGGUCUCCGCUAAUUCGUAAGAUCAAGUAUGGAGGCUGACGCCUGCCCAGUGCCGGAAGGUUAAAGAAGUUGGUCAAUCUUCGGAUGAAGCUGGCGACUGAAGCCCCGGUGAACGGCGGCCGUAACGAUAACGGUCCUAAGGUAGCGAAGUUCCUUGUCGGGUAAGUUCCGACCCGCACGAAAGGCGUAACGAUCAGGGUGCUGUCUCGGAGAGAGACUCGGCGAAAUAGACAUGUCUGUGAAGAUGCGGACUACCUGCACCUGGACAGAAAGACCCUAUGAAGCUUUACUGUAUCUUGGAAUUGGGUUUGGGCCUUGUUUGCGCAGGAUAGGUGGGAGGCUGUGAAGAUAUUCUCGUGGGAAUAUUGGAGCCAACGGUGAGAUACCACUCUAGCAAGGCUAAAAUUCUAACUCUGAACCGUUAUCCGGUCAGAGAACUGUUUCAGGUGGGCAGUUUGACUGGGGCGGUCGCCUCCUAAAAGGUAACGGAGGCGCGCAAAGGUUCCCUCAGGCUGGUUGGACAUCAGUCGUAGAGUGUAAGGGCAUAAGGGAGCUUGACUGCGAGACCCACAAGUCGAGCAGAGACGAAAGUCGGCCUUAGUGAUCCGACGGUUCCACGUGGAAGGGCCGUCGCUCAACGGAUAAAAGUUACUCUAGGAUAACAGGCUGAUCUCCCCCAAGAGUUCACAUCGACGGGGAGGUUUGGCACCUCGAUGUCGGCUCAUCGCAUCCUGGGGCGGUAGUACGUCCCAAGGGUUGGGCUGUUCGCCCAUGAAAGCGGUACGCGAGCUGGGUUCAGAACGUCGUGAGACGGUUCGGUCCAUAUCCGGUGCAGGCGUUAGAGCAUUGAAAGGAGUCCCCCUUAGUACGAGAGGACCGGGGGGAAUACACCGCUGGUGUACCAGUUAUCGUGCCAACGGUAAACGCUGGGUAGCCAUGUGUAGCGUGGAUAACUGCUGAAAGCAUCUAAGUAGGAAGCCCACCUUAAGAUGAGUGCUCUCACCGCUAUAAGCGGGUAAGGUCACGGUAAGAACAACCGUUAUAUAGGCAUUAAGUAUACAUGCAGUAAUGCAUUUAGCUGAGAUGUACUAACAGGCCGAGGGCUUGAUC